rnacentral:rRNA from 1 species
CACGUAGGGGGCAAGCGUUGUCCGGAUUUAUUGGGCGUAAAGAGCUCGUAGGCGGUUUCGUAAGUCGGAUGUGAAAACUCCAGCUCAACUUGGAGACGCCAUUCGAUACUGCGAUGACUUGAGUCCGGUAGGGGAGUGUGGAAUUCCUGGUGUAGCGGUGAAAUGCGUAGAUAUUGGGAGGAACACCAGUGGCGAAGGCGGGUUGCUGGGCCGACACUGACGCUGAGGCGCGAAAGCCAGGGGAGCGGAACGGG